GGCGGUGUGGCCGUGGGGCGUCACACCCCGUAACUGGCAGCCGCCGCUCGGUGCUUCUCACCCGGGUCUCUCUUGCCCGGCGGGCGCCCAGCCUCCGCCGCCCGGGCCCCGCGGACCUGCAAACCCCAGGCCCGGAGCGGAUUUGCCCUUGGCGCUUUCCCGGGAUCGGCAGAGGGGUUCCCGGCUGGGAUCUCUGGGGUCGCGCUGGCGAUGCGCAGCGAAGAAAGGCGAGGCGCUGCUCUCCGAGCGCGAGGAGGCGGGAUGCGCUCGCCGGGGUCGCCGGGGCGCCGCUGGGGAGCCCGGGCCAGCGAACCCAAGCGCGAUCUCCGCGGGUCCCGGGCGCAGAGGCCGGAGUUGCCGGCGCUUUGGCCUUGUAUGGAAAGUGGGGAAUGGGGUAGGGGCCUCCGGACCCCCUAACGUGGAUUACUUGGUGCGUCUCGGCCGGGCUCGGAUGACCCACAACCUCGUCUCCAACCGUGGAUUGAUGCGCAUUUCUACCUAACAGUCGAGUCCCUUACCUGUAGGUGAAAUCAGAGGUUCGUGACUGACCUGAGUAGGUGCUUUGAACCGAGAAAGAAGGACAGGAUAAAAGGCCUGGAAGGCAGGACAAGUAAAGAGCUGUUCCUCUUCACCCACACUUCCCACCAGGAACCUUAGUGGAGCCAAAGUUUGCCACUAGGACCACCACAGGACCUGGCUAAGAUAGGACCAUCUCUUAAGAGGCAAGAGCUCUGGAUUUGAUUGAGAAUUCUUAUUUUGGAGAAUAAAGAAACUUCUGGAUUGGAGAAGACAUUUGAGGAGAAAGCAAAGACCCUUGCCCUGAGGAAUAGUGUCUGUGUUGACCUGCAUGAACUGGAGGCCACCUACAAUUAAAGAAGAUGCCAGGGUCCCGGGCCUGCUUCUUCCUUCUGGUGGGAAACGUUUCUUCUGCUGCUGUCUGGUCUUAAGACUCCCCUGUACCAGUCCUCGGGAACCAGAGGACUUUCUGCCCCACCCUUUCUUGCCCCCUGCACCCACCACGUCUGCUGUGCCUUUGGACUCAGCAGUUCUUCUCGUUCGCUCCAUUAUCUCCCACCCAGAUACAGAGUGAAUAGUUACCUACACGUAGGUCAGUGGGAUCUUACUUUUUGUUCCUGCUUCUUCUAAAGAGGCUGGUGUUUGCACAUUGCUGUACAAGCAGCCUUGGAAUAGUAUCCCUUCUCAUCUAUGUGGGAUCUGGCCCCCACAGGCUCCAGAGUGUUGCGCAUCUGUGCGGAAAUCCUUCAGGCUCUAAUAUGCUAGGAUGUUGGAGGGGGCUUCGGCAGGGAGCUGGAUCCUGAAGGCUAGCAUCCCCCACGUUCAACUUUCUUGGUUUGGAUCGCAUGCAGGUGUGCGUCUGGAGGAGCAGAAAAUGAAUACGCCUUCUGUUUACACAGAUGCAUGGUCCACUGUGAAGACUCUCUUCCUUCCAGCUGGGCAGUUGGGGUCCAUGUCAGAACAUGAUGCUUCAUUACAGAGUAUCCAGCGACCAGAGUUGAUGGUGUUUCUUGAGGACCCUCUCCCUCCAGUGUGUGCUGGUGACACCUACACCCGACCAUAGAUGGGGCCCCACGAAACACAAGUCCUGUUUGUUCCUUUCACUCUGUAGCCACCAUAUAUGUGGCUGAAAACUUUUCCUGGAGGCUGAUUGUGGUUCAACCUUGUCCAAAAUGCAGAGCCAAAGAUGUGUGUACUUUCUCUUUCCGAAGCAAAUGGAUGACUUGCCUUUGUAAAAAGAAUUCAAGCCAGACGUAUACAUGUUCCCUGGGUUGUAGAUGCUGCGUAUGUAUGACCAUUUAGUGAUGUCAGUGUCUUGUCAGGGAAGCAAUGGGGUCCAUCUUGGCGUCUCAGAUUCACCACCAAACAAAUGAGGGGAACCUCUGAGGGAUGUUCCGUGCUAUUGAAAUGGGAAGCUUGUUUGUGGGUUUUCACCUUCCUUCCUUGACCAGUAUACACACGCCUCACAUUAGCUUCCUUCGGGUUUUAAGGAAAAGAGACCCAUUUAUAUCACCUCUGUAAAUGCUGGUGUGUUUCAGGUUGCCAUGGAAACAACAUAUUGAUAGAAAGGAAACAGUCUACUCAGCAGCUGCCCACCCAGACCUUCCCAAGAAGCCCAAGUCAUUCAAGAUACCCAGUCUCAGUGGGUGGUUUCCAGGGAUAGCAAAACUGAACCACCAUGCUCACCUUGAUCUUCCGUUGGCAUCAGCACCUGCUGCUCCUGAUUCUAGGAGACUGCCAUGGUGAUGGGCUGAUGGUGACUAUCUGUCCCAGUUUGCCCGGGACUGAGGGAUUUCCUGGGAUGCAGGACUCCUGGUGCUAAACCUGGGGCAGUCCUAAGCACAUUGGAACAACUGGUCACCCUACUGGAGACUCGAUGACCUUGCCUCUGCUUCUACUUCAUCUGCUGUAACUGGCUGAUGCUCUUGAUUGGUUUGGCCAGAUGCCAUCCAGAGGCCUUGCGUCUGGCCACUUCACUGGCCACUGGGCAGCCUCUAGAUGGACCAGGCGCACCAACCGAUCUUGACCACAUCAGUUGUUUCCAAGGUGGCAGGACUGCAUGAUAUUGAAUCAAAACCUGGCUAUAAAGAACCAGCUGAGACCACAUCCUUCAGAAGCGUGCUGUGGACAGAUGGGCAUGGUAGGCAUUCAAGGUACCAGGGGUUCCUUUCCCGUACAGUCCUACUUACAAAGGUGAAGUGAAUCUUUUCCAUUGAGAAGAAAACAGUUCACUGUGAAACAAAAACUAAUACAGCCACUGGAAACAAUGGAAAAAAGACUAUGGUGUGUGCGUGUGCGUGUGUGUGUGUGUGUGUGCACAUGCGUAUCAUACAAGCACAGACUGUGUAGAAUAAUGAGCCAAGAAGAAAAUUCUGCAUCUUAGCGAGACUAAGAGCUAAAUACCUUUGGGAUGGUGUUGUCUGGAGAGGGAAGGAGUUGGCUACAAGACUUCCUGAAAUCCCUUUGAACUCUAAGGUCCCUUAAAAUAUCAGGGGCAUGUAAAUUGGGCCUAAGUGUGUACUUUCUGUCUGAAGUCUCCUAGAUAACCUUUGAGUUUAACUCAGAUAGUGUUGAAUGGGGACCCCCCCCCCCCCCGCCAGCUCACCCUUACCUUUCCAGACACUGGCUUUAUCUGGGAUAAGGCAGCGGAACUUGGUGGUGGUAGCAGGGAAGGAGGAGAAGGUUGUGCCAGCCCAGCGUGGGGUGUUCAUGACAAGUAAGAACAAUCUGAAGGCAAAUUACAGGUUCUUUUCAGGUUCGCUAAAGCCAGGCUCUCAGGAUGGCAUGCCAUCCUGAAGUUGUUGCUUCUUGCUGAGGGGAUCAAGUCUCUAUCUUUUCUGCUGAAAGACAAGCAUGAGCGUCUGGAGCCCUGGAACACAGGUCUUCAGCUAAUCAUGCUCAUCUUGCGUGGUGUGGCCCCAGAAGGUCAUCGCCUGUCAGGGUGGAGAUGAGCACACAAACACCUAGAAAGGACUCUCAUUACACACGUGUAGAGGUUAAGACCCGACCUUGUGCACCUGGGUCUUUGCCCCUGUUCUGACUCUCCUUGCCUUCACUGCCAUUGAAGGAAUGCUAGCCAGCUCCUGGGGUGUCAUUUUUCUUUUUUAAAAGAUGGACUCAUUGCAGAUAUUUCCUUCGUUCAUAUCCCACACAUGGUCAUUGGUUCCAGAAGAAGUCCCACUGCUGUGCCAAAAGCAACAAUUUCCUCUUUUUCUCUCUUUUCUUAUCUUCUCAUCCACGUUGAAUCCCAGAUUCCCAGAGCCUGAAGUGGUCUAAAGCAUCACUCUUAUCUAGAUCUACCUCUGACUAAUGCAGGGAUCCUGUUUCCCACAUCAGAUGAGGGAUGGUCCAGGCCUGGGGGAGGUCAACCUUUUUGGCAGAGUGGGAGAGAACUGGGAGAGAAGGUUGGACGAUAUUCAACCUGGUGGGGAAGCAGAAUUUUAAAGAGCGGUUCAUAGGCUGCCAAGUGUCCACGAAUGUCAAUUUCUUCAUCGGAUAUUGAGCCACAGUGCAUCUUAUUUCUGGGUCCAGGUGUCUUAUGCUGAUAAAAAGCACAGAGUCAGAAGACAAGGAGACCUAAGUUUUUGUCUCAGAAAGUCCCCCUUCUUAAGUCCUUCCACGUACAAUGAGGGAGUCAGACCACACAUUCCCCAAAGCCUCUUCUGCCUCUGCCGUCCACAAUGCCACCAUAUUGGAUAGAAUUCAUGACUUAAGAGAUUUGCUAUUUUUUUAAAAAAUUUUAUUUUAUAUUGGAGCAUAGUUGAUUAACGAUGUUGUGUUAGUUAAUUCGGUUGUACAUAUACAUGUACCUAUUCUUUUUCAAAUUCUUUUCCCAUUUAGGUUAUUACAGAAUAUUGGGCAGAGUUCCCUGUGCUAUACAGUAGAUAAGAUUUGCUUUUUUUUUUCUCUCUGGCUCUAGUUCUGCCUUAACUUCAACUUGCUCCAAGAUCAUGUAUAAAUCACUCAAGCCUUUUCUCCGGCUCUCAGUUUUCUCAUCAAUAAAAUGGGAGAGGGGAGUGUGGAGUGGGUGGCCUUGAUGGUCCUCCAAGGUCCCUCCCAUGUGUCAAGUUCUAAGCCUUGCCUGACGCAGCUGAUGUCUGACAAGUAGCUCUCUCUGCCUUUGCCUUCGGCUGCACAGGCCAAAAAUGGGGCUGUCCUGGGAAGUCCAUUACCAAAGACUACUUCAAAGCUGCUUGCCCUUGUUGUCAGCUACACGGAGCAAGAGUCUGUCGAGGGAGAAGGCAAAUAGACACACAGACUGAUGACCGGAGAGGGGAAGGGGGACUGCUGUUUACCUGGGGUGACUGGGAGGGGGAAAAAACCCACCUGCCGUUUUGACCAAUAAAUAAAAACUGGGAGCUCUGCGUGGCUAAAACUGUAGGGGAUUUCUUAGUUUGCUUAGCGAAAGGCAAACAUUAAGUCUUACGUUGACCUGUCCUGGGACCUCCCUUUUGGCUUUUGUAUGCUGUCCAGCGCUGAUCACCGUGUACUCCAGGUUAUCAGGUUCUGCCGAAGGGUUUUUUUUUAAAAAAUUGUUUUCCGUCUCUUUCUCCUUUCCUUCCUCCUUUGCCUGCCCCCCACUCCCACCUUCUAGGGUAAGGGUAGCUCAGGCCUGGGUUUUGGAGAGGCGGGGAGCGCAGGAUGCGGAAGACUUGUUGUCCUGGGCGUGAAGUCGCCUGUGUUCAGGGCUCCGGCUGCCCUGGGGGUUACCCUUGGCCAUGGCGCGCUGGCUCAGGGCUGCAAGCCCACCAGGUGGUCCUUGGGCAUCUCCUCCAUCCUUGAGCUCUUCGAAAAGUUAGGUCCCAGGCUGUUGGGUGAAGCUCUUGCCUCUCAUUAAACUUAAAAUAAGCAUCACCACAGCCGUUGGAUAAAAGAUACAGAUCUCCCGAUUCUAAGUGGUUUCACAGUGACAGAUGAUUCCAGCCUGACGUGCUGAAAGAUGAACUGAUCAGCUUGUCACUCCCCAUGUGAGACAGGCUGGCACCUGGGACCUGGGACCCUUUGCUGCAGUGCUUGCACCUGGACAAACGACUCCUGAGCAACAAAAUACAAAGAAACUAUAAGGGACUAAAAAUAACUGCGUGCAUGCACAGUUGGGGCAAGUUCUGGACAACAAGAUACAAAGAGACCAAAAACCCAACUGCCUGUUUCUGAAGAGCGAAAACAGGUGUCGGGAGCAAAAGCAGGGUCCCGCGCAGGCCCCCCCUGCACACGGCACCACCAAAGGGGUGGGCAGACCACCUCAGCCACUGCUCCGGCCCAACCCCUGGACACACCCCUCCCCUCACCCCAUAUAAGGAACAAGUUCACACCCCCUCAGGGAGCAAUCAAGGGGACCUGUUACUUGUUUUGCUCCCCGCUGCUGCAGCAGGGGCCCCAGUAAAGCCUUGCCUGAAUUUCUUAUCUGGCCUCUGAUCAAUUUCGAUCGAUUGAGGAAGGCCAAGAACCCCGGUCGGUAUCACAUGGAGUGAGAUAUCCAGACCUCCAGGGGCUAGACAACCACCCAGUCUAUCCUGUUUCCACGUAUGAGCUGCAGUGAAACUAAACUAGAUGGCACAUUCUUUACCCUUUGCCGUAAGCAUCUUCAGUCUGUUCUAAAGCACUGCAGUUCCGGGGUACUCGCGUCUCCUGGGUGGUGUUCGCUAACACCCACCCACUGUGGGGUACAGCACACCAAGGUGCGUUGCUCCGUGUCAGACCCCUAUGCCCUUUUCCAGGCCACCCUGGUCACUGUCCGCGGAGAAGGCAUCUUACCAGCCCACCCGGAUAUGACGGGCAGUUCCCCACCACUGCUCAUGCAGUCAAGAGUUGGGAAUGUUCUGGAAUUGCUUAAUUAAGAAAGUUCCUUUCACACUCCAGUGGUGAUUUUUGAUUGAACUCAGCAUGAGUUUUAAUCCUCUGGCAGUUCUUCCUGGAUGAGUCUAUGCUUUAAAAGAUCUAUGUUGGGCCACCAGGCUACUGAAAUCCUGUUAAUCCUUCAAGGCUCAUUUCAAAUGCUCCCUGCUCUAGGACGCCUUCUUGGGUUUCUUCUUCCCUCUCAACCAGUUGUGACCUCUCCCUCUGUCACAUAUUCUCUUAAAGCAUCUGGCACUGGCUAGGUACCCCAAAACACUGAUCCCUCCUUCCUCACCAGAACACCUUUCAUAUGUCAUUUACUAUGCUUAUAUUGAACUUGUUUUAAACUUGUUUCUCCCAACGUUCCUCUGUCUGUCUGUCUGUCUGUCUCUCUCUCAUAAAAGCAGGAACAGGGUCACUCCGUACACUUUGAAAUGUAUCCCUAAAAUGCCCAAUAAUGUUCAGGAUCACAUGGCAGGCACUGUGAUUGACAUCUCAUCCUCAGAAAUUAGAGCUGUACAGGGAUCCAUGGCUUUGCUCAAGUCUUAUAUAUGAGAGCUGGGGUUCAUACCAAGGUCAUUGGACACCUGAAGUUCAGAGCUCUUAAGUUGUAUCAUAGUGGCUUUUACCUGGUAGAUAUACAAGGGAGAUGUUGAGUUGACUUUCCCUAUUAGUGAUCUGUUACUGUGUAUACCACUAAGGUUGCCUGUUUUUUGUCUGCCUAUUAAUCAAUAA